GAUGGGCCCCCGGAGGCCCAAGCAGGACGCCCGCCGCACUAGGGUGUCUUUUUUACUCUUUUAGGGUCAAAAUCCAAGCGGGACUAAGCAGCCGUAGGUAUGGGCUGGCGAUGACUGGCACAUGUGGCUGCCGACGUUCACCGCGCGCCUAGCCAAUGUGCGCGCGGCCUCAGCAGUCGUAUAUGCCCUCUUUGCUGGUUCAGCUGCGGUUCAGUAGUUCUGCCUUGAUCACCGACCCACACAGCAGCAGUGCCUGACAACAUCUGAUGAUUUCACAACUCAGUUUGCUUACAAAAUGCACACAUUGGCAACAUAUUGAUCUUUGUUUUGACCAUAAUAUUUUUCCUGGUUUUGUACCUUACCUGGCUCUAACUAACCCUGUGCCAUACCUCAAAAAACUACCAACGAAUCUCAGCUUUAUUUUAAACUUCUCUAAUGCUGCAUUGUGCAGUGCAUGACCACAUUGUGUUCAUGGUGUUGCUGAAGAACUGCAUGCUGCCGGUCAGUGGUCAGAGCAGAUGUAGUCCUGUCUGCCCCACUCUUGACGUGCGCUGCCCAGUCGCCGGAAAUGAACUAAAGUGAGCUCUAAAUCGCGCUACAAUUUCACCUUUGUGCCCGAUGCACCCAAUGCUGAAGUACCCACUGAAGUGCAUCAGUGCUUACUAGGCCUAGGCACUUUAAGCUUUACUGCUUUCACCGCUGCAGCACUGGUGACACAAAUCCUUGAAUAUUCUGAACCAUGCCACUGCUCUGAAGUUUCCGAUGCUAAAAGCCUAAUCAACGCAUUCCCACACUUUCCAGAAACUGUGCAAUCCGUCUGCACUACCUUUGCCCAAAGAGGGGCCGCAUAUUGUUCCAAAGCAAGCACAGUCAUUAGUCAUUACCAUAACCUAGCUGACCGGUGGUUAAGACUGCGCGCUUGCACGUCAAGUCGUGGGUGGGUUUUGACCCUGAAACGGUUUUUCUUCCCAUUUUCAUUCCUUCCCUUCUUUUAUUGAGUAACUACAUCAUUGAACCUUCUCCUUAAGUUACUCAUGUGGCAAGGUGCCAUUCUGUCGGAGCGGGCGACUCUUCACACAAAUAUUUAGUCAUGUUUUAAGCUAUUUGCACUCUUACAUUGAGUAUGAAGUGAAAAAUAUGCCACGUCUUAAAGUAGUCUGCCUCUUAAAGUCAGCUUACUACAUGUCUUACUGGAGCAGUACUAGUAUGGACUGCCAUGUUGAUGUUGUAAACCUUCUGUAUGGAAUACGUGAACAGGUCAACUAAUUCAAAAUCUGGGGCAACAAGUAGACUUUAAACUAGAAUGAAUAAGAUGCAAUACACAUAGUUUGCAGACUUAAGAACUGCCUGCUUUUCAGUCCUGCAAUAGGCAGCGAGGCUCUUGGUUCAAAAUGUUUUCUUCGCAUUUGCGCCUCGCUCCAGAGUCAACCAGUUCUGCCUGUGUGGCUUCUGUCACUGUUUCUGGGCUGCCUGUGGGGUUGACUGGAGCAAUAUUACAGUGCCAGUGUAGGGUAAAAUGUCUCCUGGAAUACUGAACCCGUAUGCUGUAGCGUUUCCGAGAUGCUGGCUGCUAGCUAAUGGUUGUUGGCAACUGGCGCUGCUCAGGAUACAUCAGUUUCAUGUCAGUACUCAGUUUGUAAAAAGAAACAAAGCCACUAGAAGCUUGAAUGCUGCCAAAUCUUGGCUGUGUUGUGUCAGGUCGGUGAAUCUCGUGGUGUUGGAGGUUAGCGGUAAAGUUGGCCUCCCUCCGAGUUUGGUGCAGGCACAAUAGGAGACCACUUGAAUUAAGCUGCAGCCAAAUGCUCAGUGGCUUCGUUUCUGUUCACAAAGGUUGUAGAUGAUUGAAAGUGAGAAGUUCAAACACGUCUUCUCAAGUAGAAACAGACAAGGCCGGGAUAGCAGAGCCUGUUCCCAACAUUCCUCCCAUAUUGUCGUCCUGGUUUCUCAUUCCGUGGUUUUUACCUUCAAGUACUGAAGCCACCUUCGUCAUUCAUGCUGCCAUUUUCUACGGUCAGUGCACGUUGUAUAGCCGCCCCUGCAUCCAUUGUUUCCUGUAGUGAGAAACGUACAAAUUUUCCCAGAGCCUUGGCGUUCUCGAAUGUUCCCCUUACAGUCUUCCGAAUAUCCAGCCUCUCAUCGUGUGGUAGGUAAUGCCGCAACCGAAGACUGUCUUCCUUCGGGAGACGCUUCACCGCUUCCCAUUUUCUCAUUUUUCCAUGACGUCUUCCCCGACGUUUCCUCAUGGGUGAAACCGAGGUCAUUUCUGUCUCAAAGAGCCAAAGAUAAAAGCAAUAGAUGACUCCAUGUUGCCUUUUUUUUCUUCCUCUUUUCUCAUCAUGCAGUUGCGAGGGAGUCGAGGCUCGAUAGUUGCCAGGUGUGAAAUUUCAUGUGAGGUGCUUGCACCGUGUGGUUAACAGUGCACUAAACAAUCUCCUGCUUUCAUCACUCCUCCAGCUCUGCCUGAUAUACAGGUCAACAACCGUAUAGCAAGCCAAUAAAUACAUGUGAGCAAAGGACCUGCACUGCACCGCUUCAAACACCAGGUUACCGACAAAGCAACCCUAGCAGGUUUAUAUAUGCUAUUCCAUGUUCGAGCUUCCACUUGCGCCCCAAGAAAUAUGAUGACAGAAUGCAUAACACUGCUGCCUGCAUCAAAACAAGAAUUUUGAAAACAAGUUUUUUGCGGGUUGGCAUCAUAUUGCUGCCAUAUAGUGUAGGCAUGAGGCACUUGUGCUGCUGAUACCAAGAUGUAAUGGGACAUCUUCAAGGUCUAAAGAGGUAGGUACCUCACUUAAAAGUAUCAAAAGAGACGCCUGCCCGCGGAGACGAUUCAGGCACCACCACUUGUAAAGCCAUCAUACUUUUUUCUAAUCAUCACAUAUAAUCUGCUGUUGUGGUGACCCACUUCUGGGAAACAGCGACAAGCCCAGAUGCUGAGGCAGUGUGGCUCCACUGCCUGCACUGCAACUUUGGGUCACAAAGCAAUGACGUCUGCUUGUGGUGGCCAUUUUGGCCACUGUGCUGAGUGUGCACACAAUAUCUAUGUGUCGCCAAGUGGCGGUGGAUUUACAGGAGAUCCCCCAUACUGGCGACCAACAUGCCCCAUGGACCCCCGUUUGCCAGCGGCCCUGUCUCAUUUCAGUGGGUAGCUUACUGGGACUCAGCAGUGCUUGAGCAAUGCGCCCAGGGAUUCCAGCAUGACAAAUGUGGUUGAUCCAGGCCAUGUAGACACUUCACAAACACUCUACAUGUAGUAUGAGGGUGCAGGAUACUUGCAGUUUUGAGACGAGGCGCUGGAUACUCGUCUGACUCUAUUUCCUUUUUGAUUGUGCCUUACAAGCAGAGCUCAACUUACGCCCCUACUCUCAAACAUUUUCCUUCUCAGGCACAGUAAGUCUGAUGACAAGAUUUCACUGAGAUCUGUUGACUCUUGUGGUUUGUCUAUGUUCCUCGAAUUCUUUGUCGUGCGCAAGGCAGCUGAAUCUCAUUUGUUAAUGGCUGGAAAGCUGGGGUAUGACACCACAAUGUCACAAGCAAAACAGUUCCAGCUGUCCAAGAAAUCCCUGGGCGUCAAGCUCAUUUUUCUCAAGGCUUCGUGUCCACAAAGAUCUCGGAACAUAACCUUCCCAAUUUCACUGGGUUGUCACAUGGCCGAUGUUGCCAGAGAGUAUGCCAAAAUGGAAAAGGUGGGCUGAGGUAUCGUUGGCACUCUGGGCUCCUGAGAGGGUGCACUGUCUCAAGUAUACAUCAAAGUCAACGUCAAAUCUCCCGAGAAUGCUGCUUUUCUCUCAAGCGCUCGGAUUUCAUUACCUCCAGAUGGAAGCAUCCUCCUGUUACCCUUCUUCCUAUAUACAUAUAUACAUACACGCACACACACACACACACAAACACACACACACAUUAUAUACAUAUAGUGCUCACACGGCUCUAUAGGCAGAGAGAGAGAGAGAACUUAAAAAAAGAAUGGAGGAAACUGUCGGCCAUAUGCUGUGAUCGUGUCUUCAACGUAUGAUGUUAUGUUCCUCUCCUGUCCUCCCGCAUGGAGCAACACGGGCGCAUGCAGCUAGGAAGAAGAAUGCAAAACCCUGCACACAACUUCGCACGAGGUGCAUUCUUGAUUUUUUUAUGUGUAUGCUUCUUUUCUGAGUAAAGGGUAACAAACAUUCAAUUUUAUUCCACACCCAAUGCAGGUCCCUAAUGUUCCCAAUACUAAAGCUUAUGCUCCUGUCAAAUACUGAUAAAGGCAACAGUGCCUGUGAUUCCAUUCGAGCAUCGCCGCUCAUUGCCACUACAAAUAAUUGCAGAUAUCUUAUUUGGCAAUAGCAGUUUUCAAGGACGUGUCAGCAUUCAAAAAAUAUGUCGCAAGCCUUCUUUUUUAGGUUGCAUACUACAAUAUUCACGAAACCUUGUUAUAGGCACUUUUAUGUUUAUUGCACGAAUGUGAAGGUGGCGCUCAAUAUGCAAAGAGCAUGUCUCGGAUGCAUAGCCUCAAAGAUGCACAUGGCAUGUUUAACUGUGCUCGGGGUGCCUGGCUUAUGCAACUGAUGCAAAGGAAUAUUGCUGCUUGAUAAUACCGGGAGUUGACUGCAAUAAAUGGUGCAUGAAAAAUUGGAUUUAUAAGCUGUGGCCUGGAGAACGGUGCAUCUAAGUUGCAUUCAUUUGCUUUUGAUAGCAUAGAAUGUUCAAUCUGGCUUUUGUGAAUGUGUUCCAGAUACUAUUGUGCUAAACCAUGAAUGUUGGAACACUUUGAUAAAUAGCAGUUACUAAGAGUGAUAGUAAAGUAUGCCAGAUGGGCAAGACAUGAAGAAAGGUGCUCAGUUACCGUAUAGACUUAUUUUUCACAAUUUUGAUGAGGUGGAGCCCUUACAAGAGACCAAACGCCUUGGUCAAAACGGUGUUGGCGCAGCCGGCAGCUACUGCAGACCCCAGAUCCCCAAAUGUAUCAUUGCAUCAGAGGUCAACGCACAGCUCUCACCAUCUAGUAGGGCUAUGCGGAAGUGUAUGGCAUGGGAAAAUUCGCCAAUGCGUGUGCGCAGCACUGGGGCACCAAAUGCAAUUGCUUCUCCGAUGGAAAUUCUCUAAUUUUUUUUUUCAAGUUUUGGGUUGCGAAGUUGGGGGUGCAGCCCUUACACGAGUCUAUACGGUAUAAAGACAAAUAAUUACGAUAUUGCCAUUCUGUAUUAUAUACGGAAUUGUUAUUUAGCUUGUUUCGACAGACUGUUACCUAGCAAGGUGCCUAGGGAAGUACUGCAACAAGAUGCAAUAAAGACAAGUCUAAAAGGACCAUCUGAGACAAGCUGCCCUAGUUGCUUCUUGUAUGUCCAUGCCUGUUGAUCUUUCCACCUGCAUGCAUUUGAACAGUAUGAAUAUUUAAGUCAUGCGUCACCAAUAAUUACCUAUGAUGACGCUCAGUGCCAAACAGAAAUUAUUCAAGCCCACACAGUAAGACUGAGUACACAGGGACUUUUAAGCAAAGUACACGAACCCGAAUAGCAAUGCUCCCUGCAUAUUUCAUAAAGUGGCAUUGUGUACAGAACUACACAGCUGCCAUUAACUUGCAACCCAGUGGCACUCUAGAUUUUGAAUGCAUGCAAGCAUGUCAAAUCUUGCACAGAAUUGGUUAAGUUAACCUGCGGCACAUUAAUAAGGAGGGAAAGAAGAAGAAAUCAACUUCUGUCAUUCCACUUAUGGCAAUCUCAUUACUGAGCAGUGCUUAAAAUGAAAGUAGCCUAGGAGGUUUUUUUUUUCUAUUUGUUUUAUAUUGCAGGCAUAAAUGAUUGCACUACACUUUUCUGGCACACACAAUAUACAGCAAAUGCAUGUCUGCUGCACCCACUGCCACUCCAUGCAGUGGCCAAGCUGUUGGCGCUGAAUAUUCAACACUGUUUAUGUUUUCCUCGCUACAUAUAGAGCAAUUCAGACGUAAAUGAGCACUAAAUCAACAGAACUCACUUAUCCUCUGCUAAGCUUCAAUUUGAAAGCAGAUGAUGAAACCACAUUUGGCACGCCUUGUGUAGUUGCAGGAAUGGUGUAUGUUCCUGUUUAGCCAACCCUGACAUUUUUCUGGACAAGUGUAAGCGCUAGGAGACAGUAGUGUUGUUAUUGCAGUGCAUGCGGUGUCGCUGUUCCGUGAUGGAGGCCCCCACCCUUGAGUGAAAGCCAGGAACACCUCCUCCUCUUCCCCUCUUCCCCUAGAUGUAGUCCUCUCACUGCCAUGUUUUUUAUAGGCAUUUACGGAGACUCAGUCAUACGCAGUAGGAAGCUUUUUCCUUGGUCACUCUCUCUCUUUCGGCAUCAACAUAUCCCGUCUCACGUUGUAAGUCAGGCAUUGUGGACAAUGCAUCGCCAGGCCAUGCAAAUUGUUCGCGUACUUGUGUUGGUAGCCAUUGUUGCAGAGAAAGGGAUGUGCCCAAGCAGAAACACUCACUUUUUUUCCUUGGCUUCCCCGUCAUCCACCAGUGUUUGAUGUAGUAGGCUUGGCUGCUUCUUAUGGGAGAAGAAAGUUCCAUGCCGUAAUGUGCCACCACGGCCCAAAAAUUGCAAACGUACACUUCCGUCAUGCUCACGCAUGUUCUCCUGACGCAACUUUGCACCAACAAAUGAAAGAUUGUGGCUCGUUGGAGGUAUUGCAACCUGGAACAUUACUCUAAUUACUCCUUGAACCUCAAACAAUAAUUCUACUAUGCUCCGUUUUUCUUUCUGCUGAUCAGCUUCCCCAAUUUCAUAACUAUCUUUGCACUGCAUAUCUUACAGCAACGACCGUGCUCUGGCAAGUCCUGCAUAAUCACCAGGCAAAGAGCUUUUUUACUGAAAACAGCAUGUCUGUCACAAAGCGCCUUUUUUUUUUCACACAGUUAAGGUACUCCACACUUACACAGCUAGCUGUGAUUGAACAUGUCAACUACUUUCCUUCAGGCAUCACAGUGUAACUUAAGCCCAAUCAACACUGUGCCCUGCAUUCUGGCUCAGCUACAUGUCAGCGCCAACUUACAUGCCUAAAUGUUCGUUUGCUGAGGAAGAUGUGCAGGCUGUACCCAGGCAGAAAGUUGUGUCUACAAAUCAGAGUUCACGAAUAUGGAGAAAGGGGAGUCAAAUCAGCAGCCAAAACAGGCUUGUGCACCUGUCCAAUAGGGGCCUGCACAAUGGCUGAUCUGCACUUGUCGGAUGUAUGCCUGGAUUGCAGUGAUGGCACUGUUAUUGCGAGUGUGGUCGCCCUUUUCACAGGAUGCCAAGCUUGUAAGCUGACACAGAGACAGACGUAGGUGCAUAAGGAGCGCUCUGAACAAGUCUGACUUAAGGACCUAGCAGAAAGUGCGUCACAAAUCACCUGGGAGAUAUCCAAUUUUGUCCUAGCUAGUUAGUGGAUGGGCAUGGAACGGAAAAAUAGAAAUAACUAAAUAAAAUUAUACCGGUACCCUCUGCUACGGCGUCCCUCGUAGCCCACACUAUGUUUGGGAUAUUAAACUCUAAAAAUUAUUGCCCUGGAUAAUGACCUGCAGAAACCUGGUCAUGUAAACCAUACACCUAUAGGUGCUCAUGACACUUCGAAAAAUCUCCAGACUGCUUACAGUAUAGUGCAAUACAGCACUGUAUAGUUGGGCAGUUUACAGAGUACCGUCCCAGGUGGCAAGAAAACAGAAGUUCAGCUAUGUCAUUUUGUAAAAUUGCUACCUCCCUUUUCCCAUGUCAUUGCGAAGUAAGCAAUUAAAGUACACACAUCAGGGUUAGGUGAUUUUGGAUUGAGAAAAAAGGUGCGGUGCAAGCACGUAGUGACACAUUGACUUAGCACAGAUACUAAUAAGCAUGGCUGAGUGCAAACUGUGAACCUAUUCUUACUUAAAGUAUUCUUCGUUCUGGCGAAGAAUGUCCACCGACACACUUAAUGAAAGAAACAACACAGUUGCACUGUGUUGUAGCUCCAAUGGAUGCAUAAAACAUACAUCCAUUGUUCAUAUCCUUGAGCAGUAAAAUAAUUGCUACUAUCAGCCAUGGUAGCAAGGGGCAAAAUUUGUAGGAUACUGCACAAGGCUCAUUUUACAGUGCCUUAUUUUGCCUCUCAUAGAGUUUACGGCUCAUCAAUGUUUUUCUUGUCUUUUUGGUCAUGGGUUUCUAAUUCUUAUGCUCCUGAAAGUAUGCAAAAUUAUCCCAAUAAAUUAGCGCUCAGCCAUGCUUGUUUUUGAAAAAUGAUUGCAACACAACUACUCGUAUACGAAGCGGGAAGCAACCAUACGCAAAGCAUUUCACUGCGGCGUGCAAGUUGUCGUCAGUGAGAGCAUAAAAGUGUGCGUGAACUUAUGACGGACAGUGGAAAAUCCGACAGAUCUGAGAUGUGAGUCACGAAAUCCACAUGUAGAGGGAAGGCAAUACAGACUGGCCCAAUUGACACGGGAGCGGUGAUCUUCAGCAGGGAAUGAGAAAGGGUAUACAAGUAAUGCAUGUCGUAAUCACGUUUUACAGUUGUUUUUCACCAGCACUCUUCCUGCGUUUUGCUGUAAGUAUAUAAAUAUAUAUAUUACCACUGUUUCAGUCUCCCUCAUGUAAAUAGUAGGACUAAAAUAUUUAUUCCCUUCUAUUAAAAGGCAAAGGUUGUUUCUAUAGAUGUACAUAUAAGUGUCAGUGUUAAUGUGAAAAAAAAAUGAUUUAAAUAAAUGAUGAAUAAAUAAAUAUAUAUUAUAUAUAUAUAUAUAUAUAUAUAUGAAUGCGUUGUCUACACAUUCAUGGUCGCUAUACGAUUGCGAGACAGAAAUGUUUGCCGAGUAUGUAGGCUUAAUGUUUCGAAGUGCGUUUUUAGGUUUGUCUGUUUAGUGGCCAUAGGUGGUGUUCUCGGACAAAGAACACCGUGUUGAAGUGGUUGCUGGAGCAUGUUCUCUUUUCUUCAGGCGGGCAGGCUUGACAUGGUGCCUGUCUCCUCAAGUUUCGGUUGUGCAAAAGCUUGCCUCAGCAAAAAUUGACUUCAUGGAGCAGCCUGCUUAAUCGAUGCCAGACGACUGUCUCCGAGUACAGGCAAGCCCUCGCUCGAGGCCAUCGAGGUCAUAGCAUGUCCAUUGCUCUUCUGUCUAGCAGGAUAAAAUUGCGCAGGUGCUGCGUGGU
rnacentral:lncRNA from 1 species